rnacentral:rRNA from 1 species
GUGGGGAAUAUUGGGCAAUGGGCGAAAGCCUGACCCAGCAACGCCGCGUGAAGGAAGAAGGUUUUCGGAUUGUAAACUUCUGUCCUCAGGGAAGAAGAAAGUGACGGUACCUGAGGAGGAAGCCCCGGCUAACUACGUGCCAGCAGCCGCGGUAAUACGUAGGGGGCGAGCGUUGUCCGGAAUGACUGGGCGUAAAGGGCGCGUAGACGGCUGUCUAAGUCUGGAGUGAAAGUCCUGCUUUCAAGGUGGGAAUUGCUUUGGAGACUGGAUGGCUUGAGUGCGGAAGAGGUAAGUGGAAUUCCCAGUGUAGCGGUGAAAUGCGUAGAGAUUGGGAGGAACACCAGUGGCGAAGGCGACUUACUGGGCCGUAACUGACGUUGAUGCGCGAAAGCGUGGGGAGCGAACAGGAUUAGAAACCCGAGUAGUCC